CCGCUUUCGGCCGCGACCGCUAGCCUUCCGGACCGCCCCGAUGGCGAUGCGGAUCAAAUGCAACAGACCUAACAAGAGGGAUGAGACGUCAGAUCAAAGCAACAGACCUAACAAAUCAAAGCAAGAGGGAAAAGUGGGGGCCUGAGUUAAGUUGGACAAGAGAGAUUUAAUAGGCAGACCUGAAAAAUGUUAAGUAAAGGCGGGCUGGGCGCGCUCGGGGACCGCAACACCUCCCUAUAUGCUGGCCGUCAGGGCUGGGCCAGCAGUCGCAACCGGCGGCGGGGUCGCAGUGGGGCAUCGUCCUGAGCGCCGCACGGUUGGGCACGCAGUCCGCCUUUCCGGUUGGACUGCGCAUUUCCCAUAAGGAGCUAGACCUCCUCAAGUGUGCCCGGCUAUGGGGUGGUGAGCUUGAGGACCAGCCGAAGGUUAAACGGCCUCGCCGACGGCCUCCUAGCGCUAAAACCGGGCCUGGGCGGCGGCGAGAGCAGCAGCGAUGGAGGCUACUGGCGCUUGGGCAGCCGCUUAGACCACCCCGGGCGGAGCGGAGGCGAUGGGCAUCCGGCCCCCGGGCCGCACACGUAUCAAGAGAAUGUGGAGAGUCAUGUCUUUGGAAACAAAUUUUUGAGAAGUUGGAAGAAGGAGUGACUUUGGCGUCAGUGAGUCCACCGUGCGCACCAUAAAGAAAAACGAGAAGGCCAUCAGGGCCAGCGUGGAGUGUUCGCCCGUCUGCUCCAAGGUGCUGUGCUGCAUACCGCGUGACGUAAACAUGGAGAAGAUGGAAACUGAGUUAACCUUCUGGGUCGAUGACCAGACCGUGGCGGGGUUAUGGGGCGGCCUGUGACUCUGAAGGCCUUUUGCAACCACGCCAAAUGCAUUUACAAGCAACUCGUGGAAACCACUGGGCAGGACAACCCAGAUAAGGCUGCGAGCAAGGGAUGUUUAAGUUUAGAAAUCGCUACAGUCCGCGAAAUUCGAGGUUGAUCGGGAAGGAAGAACCGUUAUGCCCAGUCAUUGCCCAGCCAUUCCAAGCAACUCCACAAACUGAUCAGCGAUAGAGGCUUUGUGCUUCAGCAGGCCUUAAGACACUGAGGAGAUGAGUCUGUUUUGGAGUACAUACCUUCACAUGCUUUUAGGGAAAGUCACAAAAAUCUGGAAAGCUUAAAGUACGCUGAGGACAGGAUUUCCCUCAUUUUUGUGCUAUUGCUGCUGGUGACAAAAUGGUAGUCAUUGCUGCUUUAUAAAGACACGAAUCCCAGUUGCCUUUUGGAAAAAGAUAAAAAAUGUCCUCCUGUUUUUUGGUAAUCACACCCUAGAGUAUCAUCAACCACUGCCCUCUUUUUAGAUUGGUUUCAUAAUUGUUUUAUCCAUAAAGCCAGGAGUUUAACAAAAAAAAUCUUGAAUUCAGAGUGCUGCUAAUUUUGGACAGAGGUCCUGAUCACCCAGACUCAUUAUUCUUUGCUCAUCCUAAUGUUGAUACUGUGUUUCUCCCCUGGGAAGAUUCUAGGUACCUUCAGCCCUUGGAUCAGAGUAUAAUUGAAGCAUUCGGGAGGUAUUAAACGGAGCACGCAUUUGACCACUUUGCUUACUCUAUUGAAAAAAACUUUUGCCUUAACUUUGAAAGAAACGUGGUCACAAUACAACAUUGGCCUUGCUUUAGUGACAAAAGAGGCAUGGAUGAUGUAAAACCAGGCACUCUUACUUAAUAAAGCAUGGUGGAAACUUUGGGUUGAUGUGAAUGAUUAUACAUGUUUCCCUAGAGCUAAUGAAGAGGUUGAAAAAACAGUCUGCAAAACGGAUGGGCUUUAAAUUCAGUGAUAUUCAUGAAAGUGAAAUUAAUGAGCUACUCAGGUUUCAGGCUUUGGCCAUAACUGAGAGUCUCUAUGGAGUCUGAGGGAGAAGACAAGUCCCCCAAACCAGAGGUAAACAUGAAUCUAAGGAAAUUCAAUGCUGUCUUCCACCAGGCUUCAGACCUCCUUGAUGCUGGAUCCUUUUGAUGUGGAUCCUUUCUAGGACUAAAGUUUGGCCUUUAAAAAAGAUUUCAAUAAGUUGUUGUAAACCUAUAAAGAGGUGCAAAUGAAACUUUGAAAUAAAGCAAAGGAGUUGAAGAAAAAGAAGGAAAACACAAUUAAGAGGAAGUAGUGUUGGUUAAGGGGUUGGAUCAGAAUCAAGAGUCAGUCUGAAUCUGAAUCCAGGUGAGAAGGUAGAGAGAAAGAAUAACAAGCCUCUAGAAGAGGCUGGACCCUCAGGUAGUGGCACUGAGACUCUAAUUAUAUCUGAAGAAUAUGCCAAAACCAUAAAUGCAGAAUUGGACUUUUGGAACCUAAUCCUGGAAUUGAAUCUGGAGAGAGUAGAGAGGUGCCUGAGUUGAAUGAAGAAGAGAAUCCAGUGGCAAUUUCUGACAAAUAAUCAUCUCUUAAAAAAAAGAAAAUCAUCUCUUGCCAUAUGUCCCUGUUGCCCCAACAUCACCUUCAACCUGACCACCCUUGAAAUCACCAGCCAUGUGUCUGUCAGUUAGUCAUUUAACAAACACUGAGCAUAAGCUGUGUGGAAUCCUGUGCUAAGCCUGGGGACAUCUCAGGAAAUCAUCUAAGUAUCUAAGGACAAUACUGGAUAAGAAGCUGGCUGCCUCGGUGAACAUUCUGCCCAAAGCAUCCUCACUGUACUUUUGGAAUGGAGAAAUAGAAGAAGCCACUGAGAUCCUGCUGUUAAUAAAGACAAAGAGUUCCAAGGUCCACAUGCUGUCCAACUACAUCAGAUGAAACCUGAGAUCAGAGAGCAUAAGACACUUAAUAUAAGUGGCAGAGCUAGGCUCUGAACCCAAGUCUCUGAUUCUAAGUAUGAUACUCCUGCUGUCUCUUCCAGAGAGGUUGGAUAUACACCUUUGUAGGCCAAAGACCCAGAGAACUUGCUGUAGCCAGCUCUUAGAGGAAGAGUUAUUAGUUCCUAAAACAUCUAUGUGGUAAGUUAAUAUGGUCCUUAAAAAUAUACUACAUUGUUUACUUCUCCCCAAAGAUGCGGAGGUUGGUGACUGACUGUCUUCAUUCUACAGAUCAGAGAACAGAAUUAGUGCAGAGGGCUACCCAGGCUGCCUGCUGGUCCACCUAGGGCUCCGAGGGCUGCACCUCCCGAGGCUCAGAGGUGCCAUUCUCGGCGAGCACCAGGCCCUUGUCAGGCAGCAGCUUUCCUGGUGGGUUGGGCGGGACACGGAUGCGCAGGCGGAAGAUGCACUUCUUCUUCUUGAUCUCCUUGCCACAGAGGAACCUGCAGGGUGAACCGGGGAAGGAGAAAGCUCUGGAGUUUGUCGGUCCACAUUACCCUCUCUGCCUCCCUGGACUGGGAGUUAAAAUCCAGAGUAGCUCAUGGAGACACCCAUUCCUCAAAGCCUGUGGGCUCAGGGGUCCCAGGUAGUGGCUGGAAUGUGGCUGGUGAGUCCUCCCUGUCCUUCUUCAUGUAUGUGUGAAGUGCCUGCUGCUGUUCUCCUUCAAACUGGCAGCUCCCGGUGGAACUCCUAUGGUCAACACUAGAUUCUACACCAUUCUGUUCUCUGGUCUCCCCAAGGAGACAGAAGCACCUUCAGGCACCUCCCUCACCCUUCUAACACUGGCUGAGCAGCCAUGAGCCUGGAGAGGUGACUCAGGAGACUCCACGAGGAGGGUAGGAGACCCUAUGUGCUCAAGUGUAGGGCUGUACCUGGAAGGCGGAAGAGAGUGGAUAAUUCUGUCCAGAUAUCUGGAGAGGUUUUGCAAAAGUAGGGACCAUGUCUUAUUCCUCACUGUGUCUUCAGUUCCCACAUAGGGCUGACACAGAGCAGCAUUUCAGUGAGUAGUUGUGCAUGGAACAAGUAAAAGAAAGGGGUUGAAGAGCAUCAUGGGCAAAGGGCAGAGUGUGAGCAAAAGCGCUGAGUGGGAAAGCAAAGGGUUCAGAAUGGCUGACACCCAGAACAAAUAAGCAAAGGGACAGUACCAGAAGGGUGAGCAGGGUCUGAUCAUGAGGCCUUAAAUGCCAUGCUAAGAAGCCUGGGCAUUCCCUUGGUAGUAGGCUAUGUGUCAGGCUUGUGUUCUCAGAAAAACUCAGAAGUCUGGAUGGGAAGGUGUGGGCUGGAGAUGAAUUAAGAGGCUGCUGCCCACCACAGAGAAGAUGCACCGAUUCCUCAGUGCCUACCCCAGAACCACUGGUGGCUGUAACAGGGCUUAGGGAUUGGAGUGCAUGCCCCAAGGGAGCUGAACCCAGCACCAAAAUGUGUCAGGCUGCUGGAGUGGUCAGGGGAGAUGUCACAAAGGAGGUGAGGUACUCCCUGGAUCUUGAAGAACGGGCAGGAUUUAUCUAGUCAGAGGGAAGGGGUGGGAGACCCUGGCGGGAAAACAGCAUGUGCAAAGGCUGUGAAGUAGGAAGAUACUAAACCAAAGCCCCACCUGUUAGGGACCCAGUGGUACUCCCCCACUCCUUUGCACGCACCGGCUUUUGUAACUGUUCAGAGCGUUGAGUAGAUGAGGUCCUCGAUCCGUCACAGGGGUGCUGGUGAGCUAAGGGGGAGCGGGCCAGCAAGCCAGUCAGACCACGCACAUGGUGCCUGAGGAGGCCUCAGCCCCCAUCCCCUUCCUCCCCGGAAUGUCCUGAUGCUUCUGGGUCCUCCAGGUCAGGACCACUUGUUCCAUGAUCUCAGACAAAUCUUUCCACCUCUCUGAGUGCACUUCCCCAUCUGUAAAUGGGGAGGAUAGCUCCUGUCCUAAAUGUAUCAAGAGCUUUGAAAAUGUCCAUGUCCUCAACCCAGUAAUGCUAGUCCAUGGAAUCUAUCAUGCAGACAUAAGAAACAUGAGUAAAGCUGUACACACAAAAAUGUUCACUAUAGCAUUGUUCCUAAAGAUUGGCAAAUAAGAAAAAUGGGAAAGAAACUAUGUGCCCAGCAGGAAGGCAACAAACAAUGGUGGAAACCAGUGCGACCAUUAAAAAUGUUGAUGAAAACUCGUAACAUGGAAAAGGUUUUAUGCUCUAACAUAAAGUAAAAAAAAAAAGAUUUGAAGCUUUAUAUACUGUAUAAUCUAAGCCAUGUAAAAAGAAAAAAUAGACAUUGAAGACAGGAGGGAAGGAUAUGCACCUACACAAUAGCAGCUGUUUCAGGAUGACGUAAUGUGGGGUAGAGAUUUUUUUUAAGUAUACUUACUUACACUUUCAUACUUUAAAAUUUUUCUACCAGGAACAUGGAUUUUUUAAAAAUAAAUUUUAAAAAUGUUAUUUAAAAAGUACUAGCUCUAUCUUUUUAGAGCGUUGUAAUAUACACAUGUCUUUUAUAAGUUACUGAACACUGUAAAUGAAGAUGUUAUCACAUGAAAAACUUUGUAAGGCAUAAAGGUUACUUUAAAAAAAAUCCUGUCUUCAUUAAGGUUUGGGGUAGUGAGAGAAGAUGCCUCAUUCUGGAUGUGGUAGAGAGGAUUCUAAGGAUGUCAUUAGGGCAAAAAGCCUCUGUGGAAGUACUUGGGGAGGCCAUCUACAGUCCCAGCUCAAAAGCUGUGCUGACCACCAGCAAGUCACUCUCCCCUUCUGGCAUCCUGAAAGUGUCUGGUUUGUUACUUCAUUCCUUGGAUCCCAGACUUCCCCAGUCUUGUGAUGGCCACUUCUGCUAUUCAAAGUACAACCAGCAAGGGGCAGGCCCACUUCACGUUUCAUUCCAGCCAGGAAAUUGGGAGUGGCUGCAGGAGCUCCCAGUGAUGGUUGACAAAAGCCAGAAUCUCCUCAAAGUCAAAGUACUUCUUCUUGCUCUGCACCCCCAGGUUGUAGAGAGCCAGGUGAACCACAUCC